UCACAAAGCGACGAGAGGCGUGAGCCAUCCACAAAGGAUACUGUGCCGCGGCCGCGACGCUUGCCCUCGUGGUAGAACCUGUCAAACGUGUCGCCGUUUGCGCAUUGGACCACGCCGGGCCCGUGGCGCCAGCCCUGUUGGUAGCUGCCCUCGUAGACCUGACCCGACGACCACGUAAAGGUGCCGUGGCCGCCACGCAUGUCGUCACACCAGUCGCCUUCGUACCGAUCGCCGUCGUCGUAGAUCAUCACCCCGCGGCCGUGCCUUUUGCCGAUGCGCCACGCGCCCUCGUAAAUGGCGCCGCUCGCGUAGAUCAUGACCCCACGGCCGUGUUUGCGCCCGCCCUCGUCGCGCUCGCCCUCGUAGCGCGUGCCGUCGGCCCACAUGUAGAUACCGGCGUGCGGCCUGCCCUUUUUCUUUCUAAAUGCAAUAUUGGUAUCGCCGUUGGCAAAUGGCUCGAUUCGAU
rnacentral:lncRNA from 1 species